rnacentral:rRNA from 1 species
UACAGAGGGUGCGAGCGUUGUCCGGAAUCACUGGGCGUAAAGGGCGCGUAGGUGGCGACCCAAGUCGAUGGUGAAAGCUCGCCGCUCAACGGCGAGUCGGCCACUGAUACUGGGUUGCUGGAGCACUGUAGAGGCAGAUGGAAUUCCGGGUGUAGCGGUGGAAUGCGUAGAUAUCGGAGGAAUACCGGUGGCGAAGGCGGCAUCCUGGACCGGCAUUGACGCUGAGGAGCGAAAGCAUGGGGAUCAAACAGG